rnacentral:rRNA from 1 species
AACAUGUCUAUCUGGAGUUAUAUAAAGUCUGGCCUGCCCACUGAUAAAAUAAUUUAAAGGGCCGCGGUAUUUUGACCGUGCAAAGGUAGCAUAAUAGUUAGGUCUUUAAUAGGGAUCUUGUAUGAAAGGUUUGACAAAGGAACUCCUGUCUCUAUAUUAGUUAUUGAAGUUGACUUUUAAGUGAAAAGGCUUAAAUGUGUUAAAAAGACGAUAAGACCCUAUAAAACUUCAUAUGAAUAAGUUUAUUUGAUUAAAUUAGUUAAAAUAUAAUGAUUUAGUAAAAGUUUAAUAUUUUAUUGGGGCGAUAAAAAUAAAAUGUUUAAUAACUGUUUUGUAAUGGAUUCACCUGUUGGUGUAGUUUGAAAUGAUCCUAUUUAAAGAUUAAGAGUUUAAGUUACUUUAGGGAUAACAGCGUUAUUUUUUUUGAGAGUUCUUAUCGAAAAAAGAGUUUGCGACCUCGAUGUUGAAUUAAAGUGUCUGUGUAAUUGUAGCAGUUACACGAGAAGGUCUGUUCGACCUUUAAAUCUUUACGUGAUCU